GCACCCAGGCCCCUCUCUUUUGGUUUUAAGGGUGGGGUGGGGGGCGAUGAGAAAGGAAAAGAGACCAAUCACAAUUGACAAGAAUUAUUAGAAACCUUCUCUUGAUAAUUAUCGAUGUACAGAUUGUCAGCACACCAGGUGAUUUCUAAUCCCAGCCCAGUUCCCCUCCCGGCUUCUUAAUGGCUGCGGGCCACUUCCUCUUGGGACCGGGCCAGAGUAAGCUCAGGAAAUGCAAACUUUUAAUUCUGGAAUUAGUAAAGCAUAUUAGGAAAGGAAAUCCACAAGUGAAGAAAUCACAUUAUGAAUUCUGACGCCAAGGGAAAAGAUUGUGAGUUCAUUGGGGGCAGGACCAUUUUACUCAUUUUGCUGCGGGGCCCAAGUCAUUGGUCUGGUCCUUGUUCCAAGAUUACCCAGGAUUCAGCCUCUCCCAUUCUUGUAGGUCUUCAGACGUCCAUCUGGUGCCUUCAGCUCUAGCCACUGAGCUGUGUGCAGUCCUGCUUUGCACUGUUCUGCAGCAGGGGAGAUGCCCUGCUUGGAUGAAGACCCAACUAAAGGGGCCCUCUUGAGAUUGGGUUAAAGAAUUCUCCAUGUGCUGCCCCACCACAACACUUACUACAGAGUCCUCCCCAUUAUACUAGAAGCUGUGGGUGCCAGGAACAAAAUUUUGGUCACAGUUAUCUCUAUUCAGCAAAUGAGUACAUAGAAGAUGCUAGAAAAA